AGGGUCCUUAAGUCUCCUUCAUUAAGACAUCUCUGUCACCUUCCUGACUCUGGAGUGGUCCCAGGAACUGUGGAUGAAGACCAAAUACAUCUGACAAGUGUUCUGGUCCUCUCUACGAUGGGCACACUUUCAAAACCUCCCGUUCUUGGGGGACUGCCCACCUCAAAGUGAACUCCGGGAGCUGAACGGCUUUAUGAGCCAGCUGACCCUCCCGGCGCGGAGAGCACAGUUUUGGCAACAAAGUUCCCAGUGACGUCCAGGCAGGAACAGAAAAUCAAGUUAACGCUGGAAAAAUUUGCUUUCCUUAGAUGUAAGCUUCCUGAGGGCAGAGUUUAGUCCAGAUUCCAGGACACGCCCAACUGAUAUUCAAAAUCACCUACGGAUUAAAAAGAUGCCUUCGAUGUUCAGGAGACUCGCUGCGACAGUGACAGGGACAGUGACUCCAGCGCCGUGUCCCGGAGCUCCUGCCUGGAGCAGUGGCCCCUGGAGCAGGAGCCGGGCGUGCCCUGCAGGGGGCAGCCUGACUGCCGCGGCGGGAAGGGGCAGGGCCGCGGAGGCUGGAGGCCAGGAGAGACCUCUAACGUGACAGGCUCAUUUCAAUAUAAAGGGAGCGCGUCUCUAAAUUAAUUUAAUUAAUCAAGCCUCACCAGAGGGGAAGGAGUUGCUGUUUGCGGGCACAGCCAUGACCAGACAAUGCGGCCCUAGCGUGACAGCCACAGUCGAAUGCCCAGCCGGGGCCUUCCCUGACGGUUUCCGGGGGAUUCCGUCUCAGUCACAGCCGGCGAACAGUCACAUCUUUAAGUUACACAAGUUCAGAAGACAUGGCUACUGCUCACCGAAUGGUAGGAGUUUUUUGGUUUGUUGUUUUGUUUGUUAAUUUCUUGUUUAAUUAGCUGAAUUAUUAUUAUUGUAUUUUUGUAAAAGAGUUUCAAUUUGAGUUGAAGACACAAACAGCCGCACUUUUCUA